rnacentral:rRNA from 1 species
UAAAAGGACUCUCGGCAACGGAUAUCUCGGUUCUUGCAUCGAUGAAGAACGUAGCGAAAUGCGAUACUUGGUGUGAAUUGCAGAAUCCCGUGAACCAUCGAGUCUUUGAACGCAAGUUGCGCCCAAAGCCAUUCGGUUGAGGGCACGCCUGCCUGGGUGUCGUG